AUUGAACGCUGGCGGCAUGCCUUACACAUGCAAGACGAACGGCAGCACGGGAGCAAUCCUGGUGGCGAGUGGCGAACGGGUGAGUAAUAUAUCGGAACGUGCCCAGUCGUGGGGGAUAACGUAGCGAAAGCUACGCUAAUACCGCAUACGAUCUAUGGAUGAAAGCGGGGGAUCGCAAGACCUCGCGCGAUUGGAGCGGCCGAUAUCAGAUUAGGUAGUGGGUGAGGUAAAGGCUCACCAAGCCGACGAUCUGUAGCUGGUCUGAGAGGACGACCAGCCACACUGGGACUGAGACACGGCCCAGACUCCUACGGGAGGCAGCAGUGGGGAAUUUUGGACAAUGGGCGCAAGCCUGAUCCAGCAAUGCUGCGUGCAGGAUGAAGGCCUUCGGGUUGUAAACUGCUUUUGUACGGAACGAAACGGCGAGCUCUAAUACAGUUUGCUAAUGACGGUACCGUAAGAAUAAGCACCGGCUAACUACGUGCCAGCCGCCGCCGUAA
rnacentral:rRNA from 1 species